rnacentral:lncRNA from 10 species
CGUCGGGCCAGGCGGCCGCUCGAGAGCCGGGCUGGGGAAGGGGCCCGCGGCGGAGUUGGCUCGGGGACUCACCAGGCCAGGAACUUGGGAGCCAUUUAAGCUGGUUGGUUCUUGCUCAGGGCCACUCAAGCUGAUGGCUGGAGUUGCAGAGUCAUCUGAAGGCUGGACUGAGGCUGAAAGAUCUGCUUCCAAGAUGGUGCCCUCACAUAGCUGCUGGCUGGAAGCCUUAGCCCUUCACCAUAAAGCCCUCUCUGUAAGGGUACCUGAGUCACCUCAUAAGGCAGCUGGCUUUCCCCAGAGAGGAAGACAGAGAAUCUAGGAAGGUGCCAGGGAUGAUUUCUCAUCCCAAAGCCCUGGGAGAAAUCCCAUCUCUGGGCAAGAAGAGAAUCUGAACGCAAAUGGAUGAAGAUGCUAAUGAGGCUCAGAUGAUGAGAGCACACUAGGCUCACAGCAUGCUGACAAAUCCAGAAACAGGCUAUGCUUCCCUCCCGCCUUCCUAAGACUUCAGCUAAGACACUGCACAUGCCCGUCCCUCUGCAGGAAGGCCAUCCACAGUUAUAUCUUGCUUUAAAAAAGCAAAACUUUGAAAAAUAAAAUGUACAAAAUUGGGUAGUUAUUUGCAUUAUAAAGCAAUUUCAUUUAUUUAAAC